GCCACGUGCCUUCCCAGCUAACAGAGGUUUUCCGGACGCCAUUUGCCAUCCUCCAGUGAAGAAAAACACUUGAGAACAGAGCUAUGGACGCUGGGUUUCUGCUGUUGUUCCUUCCAGCCACAGUGGCACCGGGAAACACCGCGGCCAGAUUCUAGGUGCCAGUGCGUUGAGAAUGUGAGCAAGGAAGGAAGCCAGGCUCACCUGCCAUAUGCCGAAUGGUCUUUUUACAAUAUUCUUCAGCCAGCGGAACCACCUUCAUCAUAUCUCUCCCCCACUGCACGAGUGGCUUUCCUUGGAUGGCAUAAGAUACAAACAGGGCCGUGCACAGUGACCCGAGGAAGCCUGGAGGAGCAUGGGGCAGUGGUGGGAAAGAGAGAGAGUGUUGUUAUCUUGUCCAUAAAUCAUUUACCACUGCAGCAUGCUUUCUGGAGCUCUGAGUAAAACAUGCACUUCUGGGAUGGACUGCAUGGUGACCAGGGGGAUACCUGAUAGCUUCUGGGUAUUUUGUGACGUAGACUACCACAAAGAAGAGAAUGGUGAUGAUAAUAAGUCCUGGCUUGUGAAACGAUGCGAGUCUUAACACAAUAAUUACCCACCUACAAGUUAGACCAGUUAGACUUUAAGGUGGACCAUAUCACUCCUCAAAUAGUUCUGGUGAGCUCAAAUCAUGCUACUAAAUUUGCUGUUUGGGGCUUGUUCUCAUUCUAUUUUUCAUGAGUUUCUUUAUAAAUGCUUAUGUUAGAUUGAAAUAGUUGGGCCUUCAUUUUUUUCCUUUGGUAUGCCCAACUUAAACACUAUGUUUACUGAAAGAACUCAUGUGAAUUAAAGAAAAACAACAACAGCUAAGGAAUGAUUUAAGCCUUGGAGGACUAUCUUUUUUUUUUUUUUUUGCUUUAAUGCGGUAUUUGCUUUAUUGCGAUAUUUGAUUUACUGCAGUGGUCUGAAACCAAAUCCCCAUAUCCUUGAGGUAUGUCUGUAUUUAUUUUGGGGUUACAAAUAAAUUUCAGCAAGUAGGUGAAUUCACAAAUAUGGAUUUCAUAAAUAAUGAGGACUGAAUAUAGUUUUCUACAUGCUUCUAAAAAGUGUAUUCUAAGAAGUCAAAAUGCAAAUUUGAAUUUAUGCAGUAUGAUAUAGAUAUUAAGAACAUGGCUCUACCACUUGCUAGACCUUCAGCAAAUUCUUAAUUUUGGGGGGCUCAUUUUCUUCAUUAGUAUAAAAUGGUGAUUUAAAAAGGAAAAAAGUCAGUAACUAUCUUAUGGGGUUGGUGUUAAGAUUAAAUGAGAAAACAUUAUCAGUGUUUAGAACAGUGCCUGGCAUCUAGGGUGCUCAAUAAAUAUUAAAUGCUAUUAUUCAAUAGAUCAGAAAUUUGGAAACAGCCUAAUGUUUGAUAUUAAUAUUAAUGUUUAAUAAUAGAAUGGUUAAAAAGAUUAUGGUAAGUCCAUAAAAUGGCAUAUUAUACAGUUAUUAAAAUGUUCAUAAGUUUUUAAUAAUGUUGGAGAAAUGCUCGUAAUAUACUAAAUGAAAAAGCAUAAUAUAAAAUUGAAGAUAUAGUAUGAUUUCAAUUAUGUAAAAUAUACAUCAAUAUGUAGAAAAAGAUCUACCAGAAAACAUACCAAAAUACUAAAAGUAGUUAUUUUGGAUGGCAGACUUUGACCUGCUUGCUUUUUCCUUCUUCACAUUUUUUAUUGUUAAUCUCUUUCCACAAAAAAGGCAGGCCUUACUUUUAAAAUCAGGAAAACAUCAUAAAUUUAAAAGGUUAAAAUAAGGUACCAACUGGGUAAUUCUAAAAAUUUGUAGAAAUUUCCAACUCUUCAUAUGUAAAUGAUGCAAUACAGAAAUUGUUGCUUUUCAAAACUCAAUUAUUUUCUGUUGUAUGUACAAAUACAGAGUAAUGUAAAAGUGCAAAAUAAACAUUAUAAGCAA